UCGCCACUUUUUGCUGCUGCGCUUGCCCGCACUCAGUCCCAGUCCUGUGCCUGGAUGCAGGCGCUUGUUCCUUCUUCUCUGGCUGGUUCUGGGGACAAUCCUCUCGGCAUUUCCACUGAGUGGGUUGUGAGUGUUUGACCUUUCCACGUUGUCACACAGAUGCCCCGCAUUACAUUUUGGUAUUUUUCCCUUUCUCUAAACCCCUCUCUGUAAAAGGUUUCAUUGUAUUUGCUAACCAGCACUGUCUCGGCUUGCCAUUUUAAUGCACAGGCAGAGUUAACAAUAUUUGUACCAGGAAGCCUUUCCUAUCCUCCCCCUAUUGCCGGAGGAUUUAUUAUCUCUUACAGUCAAUAGUUCAUAGACUUGUAUUAUGAAUGUUUGUUGUUUAGAAUUUGUCACCGAGGAAAGGCUAAUUCCAAAUAUGGCACUGUAGAUUUGCUAUGUUGUGCAAAGCCCAAGUUAUUUUUCAUAAUUAUUAAUAUUGCUUUGGUGACAGCCCAAAGGCGAGUUGUAUCUGCUCAUCUCAAAAUGACCCUGUGAUGAUGAGCAAGAUUUAUAAUGACUUUGGUCAGUAGCUGCUUAACCGCUUUGAGUCAUUUCAGAGCCCAGCCAAGGGAUUUACAUUUCCAUAAACAGAUCCCACCUUCAGAAACGUCUGAGCAUGAGGGAUCUGGAAGAACUGGAUGUCCUCACCGGCAUGUCCAGAGUUUCCAGCCCUGUUGCCAGCCCACGAAUCGGUGCAGCCUGGCUGAGAACAGGAAAAACACCCCAAGUGGUGACAUAUAAAAAGGACACAAAGCGUUCCCUUUCUUCCCUAUCUCCUGUCUUUCCUGCUAGCAUUGGGUGAUAAAAUAGAUGUAGUUUGUAUUUUUAAAAAUACAAAGUUUUGGGUCAGACGUUUUCCUGAAAUCUUUUUGUUGGAUAUAUAUGGCUGAAUGAAUUGAAAAAAUUCUAUGACCACAAGAGCAAGCACUCAACACCUCUUUUUUCUCUAAAUGGCAUUAUUUUUCUUUUGGUCAGAGUUACCAGGAGGGUUUGGGAUUGAGUUUUUUGUUUGUUUUUCUGAGAGGGGGGAACUCAGAGGAUUUUGAUUUUUAACCCUAAACUUAAAUACUAUCAAGUUUAACAAGGCCUUCUAAAUGGGGAUUGCAAAAUAUGGAUGAAGAUUUGUAGACCUGCAGCUGGGCAGCCGUCACCUUUGCUGAUGGGAACAACUGUGAACCCUGAAAGACCUUUGAGAGGAUUUUCCUUUGGAGACAUUCACCCUGAUGUUUAUAUUUGUUGCCAUGCUACAUGUUUCUGCUAAUAAUUAUUCAUGGUAACUCAAGGAUGACUCCAGCGUCAGCCCAGGUCGGCCCCAGCCCAGCAUGAUGGGAGUGCUGUAAGCAGUGAGUCAGCAGCACACCUGCCCUCCGGUACCUGGCUGAACGUCUCACGCUGAUGAAGAUCAAGGACAAACACUGUUUCUUCUCAGGCAAAGCCAAUCUUUGCUCCUUAUGCAGGAGGUGGUAACUUUCCAAUGGACUGAUCCUAUAUUACCACAUGAACUAUUGCAGGACCUGAAAACCAGGUUGUGUUUAACACAGGUUUUAACACUGACCUUCAGGAGAUAAGGAGGAUUCUGUCCAAUGACCCUGAGGAGAUGGAGCUGCUUCUCUGCAAGCCUGAGCGAGGAGCCUCUGAGAGAGGAAGCACUUCGAGGUUGUCCAAAAGAAGACAGCAUGGGAACUCCUGAUCUCAUUGGUCAUUUUCCUGGAAGAAGAUUGAGGAUAACAUAUGGAGGCUCAAUGCCUCCUUUCAAGACCAUGUUGCCAAAAUUAAUGAUCCAGUUUCAGUAUUUGUGAAAUCCCAGUGGGAGCAAGAUAUUCAUAUUUCUGAUGCUCAGGCCACAUCCUACCUCACUGCUUUCACCUUUUCAAAGAAAGAAGUAUGAGUAAAAAACCGAUCUCGACUCUGAAAAGUGGUGGACAUAGAAAAGGCAUCUCACUUGUGUAAGCCUGGAUACUUUCUAUGUUUUGAGAGUUACGCUUUCUGGCUAGGGAAGAGCCUGCAAUUUUUACUACCAUCAGGGCCAGUGUAUCGGCAGAACUCAGGAACUGGAGUCUUUUCUAUCUUCUGCAUCAUCUGAAAGAAUUGAUCAUUAAUUUCUAAUUGCAAGACACACGGUGUAAUCCCACCACUGUCAGACUGUGCUCUUGCUUACCCAUGUGUAACCUUCAGGAGACACUUUAUUACUCUUGAUGGAUGAGCCUGGAAGAGCUCAUCUUGACUUUCAGAUACUAAACUGCAUUUAUGCCCUGGAAGAUGAGAAUCUGGAGGGGAAACAUUUUGCUAGUAAACAGACCAAAUGAACAUACAAUAAACCUCUGAGACACAGUAAUCCCAGAAACCCAUGACACUAUUAAUAAUGGGUCCUUUUCGAAGUGAAACCACACUUCAUGCCCCAAAGCCUCCGAAAUUAUGUUUGGGUAAACUGCAGACAUCACAUUCCUUGGAGGGCAAUAGCUUCUGUCUUCCAUUUCUCUGAUGCUGCUUUUUUUUCUCCCCUUUAUCAGAGAUGGAUACAGUUCCCUUAAGAAUCCUCAUUCAAGUAGCUUCAAUCUUUUUUUCCACUUUGUACUUAUGGAUCUUCUGGGCAAGAUGGGUAUUCUGGUUAGUGGAAAAUGUUGGGGUUUUGCAGUUACUUUUUAUUCUCAGGAAGGAUGAAAAGAGGAAUUUUUACCUGUUGACAGGGUGUGGGUGCAUUUAUAUGUAAAUGUACAUGUUCCACUUCCUACCUAUACCAGUUUUUAUCUGGUGGGUAGCAGAGACACUUCUUUUUGUGGAAGGAAAAAACCCAAUACCCAUGCUCAUUCCAGAUUUGAGCCUGAGUGAAGCUCUGAGACACCACAAUAUCACUUUUCUGGGCUUGUUGUCUCUGUUAUUGCCCCCAGUCCUCAUCUUCCCAACCUGAGAGUAUUUAUUUCCUGAAACAAAAUGUUUUACCAGCCAUCUCUGUGUGUUGCUCUAUGUGACUGUAGGCAACAACUCCAUGCUCUUGGACAGCCCAUGCUUGGGGAGGGCCCUAUGUAGGUUUCCUCCACAACUUGUUAAAUCAAAGCAAGAAGCCGCCACAGAACCUCAAAAGUACUUUCAUGCCUUCUGCCUCCGUAAACACCUAAUUUGGGUGUCAGUUAACAAAAUGAGAGCUGAAUACUUUAAUGUUCCCCAGUGGUUGUGAUUAUAACUCACGGUACUAAAAAUGCAUCAGGAGAAGGCUUGCAGGUCUACCUAGAGAAGUUCAGCCUCUCCUCCUGCCCCCUGCACAUCCUGAGGCCAGCCAAGAGAUUUGCAGCCAACGUGCAAGGCUUCUCUUCCAUUGUAGAUGGAGCUUUACCCAUGUCCUUGUAGAUGGGGACAUGAUGUAGUAUACGUGUGCUCAGGUUCCAGGCUUUAAUGGUCAAUGCUGAGUUUUGAGCUGGUUCUGUGGCAUCCAUGGUAAGUGCUUUAACCACACCGGGGAGCUGCUUAUCUGCAAUGAGUUUCUCACUCUCAGUGUGAGCUUAGGAACCAAAUCCUAGCUCAACCAUCACGGCUCAGGUUCACAGAGCACAAGAGGUGCCUCCUCCCCAUCCAGGCAGAGCUGAAGCCAGAGAUUGUGUUGUCCUUCCUUAGGAGGAGGCACAUGAGCACCAAGGAGUUCAUCCCCAAUUUUGUAUGGCAAUGCCCACAUCCCAUCUGCGGGAAUGGAAUGAUACCUACUGUGGCUGCUGUGUCACCUGCCCAGAGUUUACAGCUGGGACACUGGGCUACUGCUGCAGUUGUCAGUCUAGCAGUUUCCAGUGCUUUGAUAGACUUUUUCAUUCAUUUUGUUUUUAUUUUCUGAAAAUUUACCUUCCUGCUUUACAAAUGUUAUUGAUUAAAAUGUGAGUUGUAUUGCAGCUGGCACUGUAAUAGCCUCAUAAACAAUUUAUUUUUUAUUUUUUUAGCCAGACUUGGGGGUUAAGUGGAUACUACAUUAUGCCAUUAUUAUAGCUUCAAUAUUAUUAUUUUUUCUUUAACCGGGAUUGUUUAUUAUGCAUGUGUUGAAGCACAAAUAUGGAACAAAUGAAUCUGAUAUCAAAUUAAUGCUGCGAUCAGGUUUUCCCCCCUUCCCUCUUUAGUUGCCAUAACAAUCUGUGAUCUUGAAGCAACAAUAAAAUUAGAAUUGCAUUAAAGGUGUUUACAUCAUGUACACUCUGUCUCCCAUUAUUAUUUUUCACUAUAAUGAAAGCAUUGAGUGUUUGCUUUGGAAGAGAACACUGUGAAGCUCUUGCCUUGCCACAUCUCAUGUUGUUUUUGCAGCCAAAAAUUGUUUGUUUUGAGGAGAGGGAAGGAUAUUUUGGGCUGGAGCUUUUGGAGGAGGAGUGAUUUGUUUAUAUUUUUUUAAUAUAUAGUUUGUAUAUUAUGUGUAGGAUGUAAUUUUGGGUGUGCUACCUUUACCUUUCAGCGCUUCAAAGAAAUGCCUCUCAGCUUUUAUAUGUGGUGCAAAUCUCCGCUCCUUCUACUGCCAUGGAAAGUACAUCUUCUAGUUCCUUCCCUUACUGACAAAAAGCAAAACAAAGCAACAUGUGUGCAAGGAAGAGAUUUCAUCAGCAUGUAUGUGCCCAUGUGCGAGGGUGCAUAUGUGUGUGUACCUAUGUAUGUAUGUGAUGCAAUUAAACCCACUUUGCCAUGACUGCACAAGCUUCUGCCUCUGGGGACAGAAUGAAAGGAAAAAACACGAUAGAUGUCAGUUAUAUGGCCUAGUGCAUGAUUUGAAAGUACUCUGGUAGUUCAGCAAUGAGCGUUAUAGAAAAACAUUUAUGGAACAAAGAGCCCGUUAUCUCUGUAUCUCGACUGUGCCGGGCGCCACGGAUCCCCUUUACUGCUGCUCUAUCCAGUCUGGCACAUUAUUCCUUGCUGUGACAUCUUUCUGUGUAGCCUUUGUAGAUAAGCCUUGUGAUAAAGCUCCCUUAAGAAAAAUGGGAGUUUUUCAUUUUUAAAUACA